GACGAACGCUGGCGGCGUGCCUAAUACAUGCAAGUUGAGCGCUGAAGGUUGGUACUUGUACCAACUGGAUGAGCAGCGAACGGGUGAGUAACGCGUGGGGAAUCUGCCUUUGAGCGGGGGACAACAUUUGGAAACGAAUGCUAAUACCGCAUAAAAACUUUAAACACAAGUUUUAAGUUUGAAAGAUGCAAUUGCAUCACUCAAAGAUGAUCCCGCGUUGUAUUAGCUAGUUGGUGAGGUAAAGGCUCACCAAGGCGAUGAUACAUAGCCGACCUGAGAGGGUGAUCGGCCACAUUGGGACUGGGACCCGGCCCAAACUCCUACGGGGGGCAGCAGUAGGGAAUCUUCGGCAAUGGACGAAAGUCUGACCGAGCAACGCCGCGUGAGUGAAGAAGGUUUUCGGAUCGUAAAACUCUGUUGGUAGGGAAGAACGUUGGUGAGAGUGGAAAGCUCAUCAAGUGACGUUAACUACCCAGAAAGGGACGGCUAACUACGUG
rnacentral:rRNA from 1 species